CAUUCGUGUCCCCCAUCUGAAGCAAAGCAAAACAUAUCAAAAAAAAUAAAAAAUCAAUCAUUUUUCAUCUUCUUCAAUUUUCCUAAUCAUUCGUGCCCCCCUCUGAAGCAAAGCAGUGAAAGUCCCAAACCAAAACGGCAAAACCUAGCCCUAGGUUCUUUGCCGCCGAUGUCCCCAGGCUCAGCGCUUUCGCUUCUUCCUCUUUCCUCUGUCUGGAAUCCAGGUAGCUCGGCACGUCGUCCCAAUCCUCGCUGGCUUUUCUGUCCGUGGCAAGGGAAAAAGGAGGAAUCGAAGUCCAAUCGCAAGUUAGAUAAAAAGGUUCAAUUUUACUCUAAGGUGAAAGAUGCUGUGACUUGCUUGAGUGCUCAAAGGUCUAUUACUAAGGUAAUGAUCUUAUUUCAAACGGCAUUGUUAUUAAGAUGGAUUAUGGAAAUACUUCAUUGUGCUUGUAACAGGUUUAAGGGCUAGUUAAAUGUACUUUGCACUGUUAUUAUGUUCAUAGAUACUUUGAAUAUUUUUAGGGUUCUUUAUUGUGUAUUGCAUUUGUUAUUAUUUUAGAAAUCAGGCAUUCUGUCACUUAAUAUACAUGUCUACUCUUGUACUCAUAUAUGAAUGAGCUUGUAUUUUACUCUUGAUGUGAGUAUUUCAAGGAGAAUUUUAUUUUUGCUUUUAAAAGAAUCUAUAUUUUUCCUGUAAGUAAAUAGUGAUCUAGGAUUAAUUAAAUGGUUGAUGCAUUCACAUAAGAAAUGCAGUUUGCUGUAAUCCAAAUGAAUUAGUAAUAAUUUAAACAAUCCUUUAUAGGGGAGACAUCUAGAUAUAAUCUUUUUUGUUUUUUUAGUGAUGUUUUCCUCUCCUUUCAAAAAAAUAGUAAACAACAAAGGCGGAAGAAGAAAAAUUGAAGGCAUAUGAUCUCUCUGCUCUCACAGAAUUCCUUCUUGAUCCUGAGCCGACGGCACCGCGAAAACCUAGUGCCACUUCUCAGUACCAAUUUAGUAUUACCGGUUUUGAGCUCUAUAAUGAACAAGUCCUGUUCUCUUUUACUUAUUGUAUAUAACUUUUUUGGUAUCCACUGUUUGCUUCCUGAAUUUGGUUGGCAAUUUUCUUGUAUACAACUCUUAAAGUUGUUUAUUUAAAAAAAGCCAAGUUCCUAGUUGUUUAUAAGUUAUCUUGAAAGUGAUUAUACUCCCUGUACAGAUUGCACAGAAUAUAAGAACUCAAGUAAGACUUUAUGUCACUGUCUAGCUAUUUUUUGUCAAAUGAGUGGAGGAACUUUAAUUUGCUUUUAAAAUAAUAAAAAUAAUUUCUAGUUAUAUAGAGCAGAUCAAAAAAUACUUAAUAUGCUAAUCUAAUUUCUUUGAACAAACUAGGGUCCCUGAGCUUGAAAAUUUUUCGUUUGAUGUUAACCGACUUAGACUUAAUUAUUUAAGUCUCAUUCUCUGUUCCUGCAUGUGCUUUCUUGCUCUCUUUUUAUCCAUGCCUAUAUUGUGAAUUUUAACACUGUAUGAUAGGACCAUAGAUUUUUGUGAAGAGUAUAUAAUAGAGAGAGACCAGUUGAUGUAUAGUGUAACUCAUUGUAGAGAGAAAGCUAUGAUUCUGAUUUCUUCUUUUAUGAUCAAUAACAAAUCACAAAACUUAAUUCUUUUUUUUAUAUAGUUUAUUGCUUUCUAUCUUUCUGAUUCAAGAUAGUUUCACUUAAUUUUCUUGCCAAAACUGAUAAGCAGCAGCUCCAUGACCUACCAAUUGUAACGAAUUUUAUUUAUAAUAUGUAACAAUCUCAUGAGUAUUUUUUGACUUCUUUUAUGUUGGUGCAUUGGUUCUUUUAAUCAACAUUACAACUUGAAAGUGAAUCUGGCAUUUUUCUAUCAGAUAAAGAGGUACUUAUUUAUUUGCUACUCUAUUAAACUUAAAAGUAUCAUGUGUAAUUUAAACCUAUGCUUGUAAAUGAAUCAAUUUCUUGGAGGUGGUAUCCUUGGCCCUUCAGGAUCAUUGCCACUUGGACUGCACAAUCAUAUAGAACUCCUUUCAAACAAAAUUUUUUAUUACAAACACACAUCUAAUGUUUUAUUGACUUUGAUUUUAGCAGAAAAUCGUGAAACAGUAACAAUGGCUAUGAUGAGUAUGAAUUUAUAAUGUGACACAUUCUUGUACUCAUUUCAAUAUUUCAUCAUCACUUUUAUUCUCCAAUUUUCUGUGACGAAAAUAGAAUAGAGGGUUCUGUUCUGAAACAACAAACAGUUGAAAUGGGUUCCUCUGAGGAAACGGGUUCCUCCAGAAAUAUGGGUUCCUUUGAUGAUGCAGCACUAAUCGAAGAAGGACCACUUCUUCAAAUUUCUCUCUCUGUCUCUCUCUCUCAAACUUCAUAUCUUUUUGCCUUGUCUAUGAUGUUAGCUUCUACUUUGGCUUUUUUGUUUUUCUGAUAACAACAAUGACAACUAUGGUAACCCUAAUCAUGAUAAGUUUAUGUAGAAAUUGUGUGGAUUCAAGACAAUGCAGGAUGGAGUCUUGGUUUUGGCAUUUCCGCUAUAUUUAUGGGAGUAUCGAUUGUAAGCUUCUUUUUAGGCACACUAAUGUAUAGGUUUCUAAAACCAGGAGGGAGAAAUAUCUAGAUGCAAUGUAUUGGUCACUUGAAUUAUCAUAGGGCAAACCUAUUGUAGAAAUAUCUGGUACAAAUAAAUGUGUAAAACUGGAAAUCAAUGAUUAGAGAUUUUGGCCUCUAGGAUCAAUAUAAUUAAAAUGUGUAGUAGUUUUUAUUAUUUGUUUAUUAUAAUAUUACCAUUUGUUGACCAGGCAACUUUAACUGGGGCAUAUGUGGUUGCUCUUGGACCCUCAAUUGCAGGUAAUUUUGAUCUAAAGUACUAUUAUAUUAUGUAUGUAUGGAUUUGAUUCGACAAGGUGGUGCUAUUACUGCCGCCUUUUUCCUAAAACAGGUAUGUAUGAUGUGUCUAAUCAUAUAGAAUCUUGUUAUUCUCUUAAAAUUACUCCAUAAACUUAUUGGAAAAUAUCUACCAACAACUGCUAUUUUGCAGUUUGUUAAUGAAAAUGUUCAAUGGAUACAUAUCGACUUGGCCGGUCCGGUAUGGAACGAGAAAAAACGCUCAACAACAGGAUUUGGUGUUGCUACUUUAGUAGAAUGGAUUUUGAAAAAUGCUUCUCAAAAGUGAACUGAUAAUUGAUAUCUCCAAAUCUUGUUAUAUGGUGAGUGAAUCGGAGAGGAUGAGAUAAAUGCAUAUUGUGAUGUUCUUGGUUCAAUGGGUUUGAUUUUAUGAAUAAGUUUAGGGGAGAUCUAAAAGGGGGUCAGAUGAGGAGGCGUAUUUCACUGUAUUCAAACUUUUUUCUGUUUUUGACUUAGUUCAGAAUUAUAUUAGUCUCUUGACAGUUUGGUUUUAUUUUUCCUACCGGCCAUUUGUGAUUCUUACAUCUCCAUUAGUGUCCUUAAGUGAAAUUUGUGCAUUAUGCAUAUACCAUAAACAGCAGCAUGUGCAUUACUUUAAAAUAAGGGAAGCAACUUUUUUUUUUUGGGUGACUAAGGGAAGCAACUUUGUUGUGUCAUUAGACUUAGACUGAAUUCCUUGCCCUAUACUGCAUUUGAUAGAAAAAAAUAUAUAAAAUAAAAUAAAAUAAAAUAAAAUAAAAUAAAAUAAAGGAAUGAUAAAUAAAGGAAAAAAGGAAAUACUCUUAGGGUUUUUUGUUUAUUUAAUGUCUUUUACAUUUUUCUUGAAAUUUGUCAAUUUUGGUAUACUAACAAAGUAACAACACAUUUUUUUAAGCCUUUAAAAUUGAACUAAUAAUGAAGGUUAAAACUUGCUAAUGCAUCAUUAAUUCAUUAUUAUUUUACAAAAUUAAGAAAUUUAAUAAAUUAAAAAAUUAUAACUUCACAGAUCUAAAUACAAGCAAGUUCUUUUACAAUAAAAUGGACAAACCAUUAAGAUUUAAUAAGUAUAUCUCACCCUAGUAAUAUUAAAUGAAAUCUUGUAGUCAGCUCUCUAAUUUUCUUUUUCUCUCUCGUUUAAUUAUUGAUCCCCCAACAAAGAACCUAUAAGAAUAAUUAUUUAGAUAAGAAAAAUACCUAUACAUAUUAUCACCUAAUUAAGCUUUGUGAAUCCAAAAAUGAAUUUAAUUUAAUUAAAAAUUUAUUUGAUUAUAUCAAGUAUGGAUUAUUAUCACAGUAGAACUGGAAUUAAUAAGAUAGGUGUUACUAUAGAUUCAACACAAGUAUUCGAUCCAUAAUGAUUUUUAAGAAAAUUCACACUAAAUGAAAAUUUUCAAAUGAAGCUUUUUCUAAUCUUGCUGUUAUAUUUUCUACAAAGUUGGAAAUUAUGGCAUAGUGGAUGUCAUUUUAUGGAACAUUAACAAAAGUGAAGAGAACUAAAUAGAGGAAAACACGAUCAUACACAGAGAGAGAGAGAGAGGAAUGAGUGUUUCUUUGACGGAGAUGAUAAUGGAUAUGCAAAGGAAUUUCUCAAUAAGAGCUGUUAUCAAUAAUGCCAUAUGAAAUCUGCUCAAAUAACAAGAUGAGAAAACUUUAUAAUUGAGAACAGAUGAGACCUAAUUUUCGCUCUUGAUAUCAUUACUUUGCUUUUAAGAAAAUUACAAAGGUUAUGAUCAGUUUGGGAUAUCUCGGAAGGGCCCUAAGACACUACAGAUGAACAUUGUACCAUCUUCUAUGAUAAGGAAAAGGUAGAGCUUCUGGAAGGUGGAAAAUUUUGGUUUUCUGAGUCUCCAUCUGUACCUGGAAGCAUGUCCUGGGGUUCUGAAGUUCCUUGCAUUACAACAUGGGCUGUAUCCUUAUUAUUCUGUAUAUCUUUUUAUACUUCCAUUCAGUUAUAUGAGACUGAUGUGGCUGUAAAAUUAGUAUAUUAAUUGGUGUUAUCUUGUUCUGUUAGGUGGCAAAUAGGGAGCAGUUGAAUUCCUCAAGUUAAUAUGAAGAGCACGCUGCCUCUGCUGUGAUCGCCAGACGCAGGAUCUUCACAUUGAUUGGAUCCUUUUCAGAGGUAGAUCUCUGAUUCCUGUUUCAUGUGAGGUGGUGAAUGAUAAUAUUGAUGGGUACCAUCCAUCUUCUCAUUUUCACAUAUUUACUGAGUUCAUCCUUCCUCGCACCGUAAGGAUGCUAGAAUCGCCUGUACAAGAGGAUAACUAAAACUUGGCUUCUUUCUAUACCUGGAUUCCCACCGGCUGCGCCUCUUUUUGUCCUUGUAGCUACAAUCCCCCAUGAAUAUGUCUUGUAGUUAUAUUUCCGGGAUUGGUAUAUUGAAGUAGACUUUAUGGACCUCUAAAAAUUGUGGACAAAACAAAUCAUUAUGAGUAGUAUUUGUCAGCUAAAAUCUGCCUCCAAGUGAGGAUAAUGUAUUGUGCAAAGUUCAAUUUUCUUGUCAGCUUAAGUGGUUCAUGCUAUUUCUUUCUCAAGAUGUACUUU